rnacentral:rRNA from 1 species
AAUGAACGCUGGCGGCGCGCCUAAUACAUGCAAGUCGAGCGAGAAGACGUAGCAAUACGUUUGUAAAGCGGCGAACGGGUGAGGAAUACAUGGGUAACCUACCCUCGAGUGGGGAAUAACUAGCCGAAGGUUAGCUAAUACCGCGUACGCUCCUUGGACUUCGGUUCAGGGAGGAAAGCGAUACCGUGGGUAUCGCGCUCUUGGGAUGGGCUCAUGUCCUAUCAGCUUGUUGGGAGGUAACGGCUCACCAAGGCUUCGACGGGUAGCUGGUCUGAGAGGACGAUCAGCCACACUGGCACUGCGACACGGGCCAGACUCCUACGGGAGGCAGCAGUAAGGAAUAUUGCGCAAUGGGCAAAGCCUGACGCAGCGACGCCGGCGUGGGGGA